AGCUAGGAAGUGGCCCCGUGACACAUGCAACGUCUGGUUCAUAUUGUUGCUUUCUCGUAUAAAUGUGAGCCCUUUCACUCCCCAUGUGGAGGGAAAACUCCAAUAUGGUUGGCUCAUAUUCCGAUGGUGACUAAGUUGAAGAACAUCAACAACAAGGGCAAGGCCAUAAAAUGAAUGUCAUCUCCAGCACAAUUCUGCAGCCAAUCACUUGCAUCCAACGGAUCAGCAUAGUACCGCCCUUGUAAUUUCAUUCCUUUUUAGUCCUUUCCCUUCGAAGGUACUACGGCUUCUUUUUAUAAUUUUUUCAUCCACAUUCUUUCUUUCGUUGUUAUAUCAUACCCACAAACACAUCACAGUUAAGCUGACUUGUUCUUUCACCAUAGACAUCUCAGUGUUUCCUAGUGCAAAACAUCCUGAUGCUGAUGUAAUUUAAUUGUCACUUGCAAUGUGUGGACAUGUAACUUUCACAUGUAUAUUGCUAUCCCUCGUACCUUUUAUUUAAUCUGCAUUAUGUAGGAAGCUUCGUUAUCCAAAUGGGGCAAAGCUUUCUACUGUAUUUUUGGUGUUAGAAUUUCCUUCAUCUAUACUGCACGGUACCGAGCUGGUUCUGUCAAGCACUUCUCUCCACGGCAUGCACCGUUCAAAAUUGUUUUGGCCCCCUCUGGAGUGGACUCUACAGGCAUGGCUCUUAUUUGGACCCAACAGCAAAAUAUCUAGGUUAUAGGUACAACUCGAAAAGACCUCCUUAUAUGCAUGUAAAAAAUUCUAGCAGAAGUUUACAUCUCGCAUUUCUUCAUUCACAGCCAAUUGGACUUGCCGAUUUAGGAAUUUUCCACUUUAUUUCUGACUGGAUCAAUCCUAUAACCACUGUUAUAACAGAUUUCGUCACAACGCAUAAUUCUGAAGGAACACACAGGAGAGAAAGAGAAAGCACAGUGACAUCAAAGAUGUUGAUGUUAUAGCAUGAAUAUUACUAAACUUAUUUCAUAAAUAUUGUUAAAUAAAGUAGAAUCUAUUGAAAUAUGAUGAUAAAGCAUGAGUAUUAGAGAGAUGGAUCUGAGAUAUUCUCCCUGCGGGCUACAAGGGCUAAGCAGACUCCUCUCCUAGGUAAAGCCGAAUGCUGCAAUAAAAAGAUUGAGUCGUUAUCCUGCUAAAAUUUUCCAUUUGUUUCUUUUGGACACCAUUGAGUUAUAAACAGCCUCAAUUAAGCCAAAAGCUGCUUAAUUGUGUAAUCUUUUGAUUGUAUUCAUAAA
rnacentral:misc_RNA from 1 species